CGUGCGCAACACGAGACACAGUGUGCAGUUGGGCUCAACUCCAUGGCAGGCCAAGGCCGUGUGUGCCGUCCGUCGUCCUGGUAGAAGUGUGAAUUAGCCGUGGAGGGCGCGGCAUAAGUCUGAUGUUGAACUCUGUAUAUGAGAUGCUGGUGUACGUGUCACCAGCAAGCUUUUUGUCGUAUUUGUUCAAAGGCCCAGCCAAACGGUAGCAGCCAAUGUUGCCUUCUCUAUGAUCCACUCUAGGUGUAGAAUUUCUCUGGACAAUGCACCGUUUCGAGUACUCAAGGAAACCGUCAAAGUCUGCAUAUUUGGAACGGAAUACUAUAAGAAGACUCCAGAGAAAAGACAAAAAGGAUCUGGACUCGAGUGCCACUGGCUGGCCGAAGGAGGCAUACAAGAUUCAAAUGCCACUGUCUGGCCGAAGGAUGAGCACAAGAAAAAAAAAUUACAGCAUAUCCACGGGGUGAAUCAUGAAGAGUGGGGCGAAGCUCUUUAACAUUAAAGAUACCGCGGCCCACACCUCAAAUGAAACUUGUGAGUAACGUGUCAUUUAAACAAUGUUUAUUAUUUUAAAUGUCGCUCAUUAUUCCCA
rnacentral:misc_RNA from 1 species